GCCGGCGUAGCUCAGAGGCAGAGCAGCUCACUCGUAAUGAGCAGGUCCGGGGUUCGACUCCCCGCGCCGGCU
rnacentral:tRNA from 1 species